rnacentral:rRNA from 2 species
AGCGUGCGGUGAACGACGUGCUUAGCACUGAUUUUAACAAUGAAGCGAGUGGCGAACUGGUGAGUAACACGUGGGGAAUCUGCCCAGAAGCAGGGGAUAACACUUGGAAACAGGUGCUAAUACCGUAUAACAACAAAAUCCGCAUGGAUUUUGUUUGAAAGGUGGCUUCGGCUAUCACUUCUGGAUGAUCCCGCGGCGUAUUAGUUAGUUGGUGAGGUAAAGGCCCACCAAGACGAUGAUACGUAGCCGACCUGAGAGGGUAAUCGGCCACAUUGGGACUGAGACACGGCCCAAACUCCUACGGGAGGCAGCAGUAGGGAAUCUUCCACAAUGGACGAAAGUCUGAUGGAGCAAUGCCGCGUGAGUGAAGAAGGGUUUCGGCUCGUAAAACUCUGUUGUUAAAGAAGAACACCUUUGAGAGUAACUGUUCAAGGGUUGACGGUAUUUAACCAGAAAGCCACGGCUAACUACGUGCCAGCAGCCGCGGUAAUACGUAGGUGGCAAGCGUUGUCCGGAUUUAUUGGGCGUAAAGCGAGCGCAGGCGGUUUUUUAAGUCUGAUGUGAAAGCCUUCGGCUUAACCGGAGAAGUGCAUCGGAAACUGGGAGACUUGAGUGCAGAAGAGGACAGUGGAACUCCAUGUGUAGCGGUGGAAUGCGUAGAUAUAUGGAAGA